UAAUCUACCUUUUCACAAUAAACCCUUGAAUUGAUUCUGAAUGCUGUAUCCAGUGAUUUUAGAGACACACCAGAAGAUAGGUUUUAGAAUAUUCUUACACUUUCUACAUAUUUAACACAGUCUGGUUGUAUAUACUGUACAAAUAUAUGGUGGUCAUUACAUACACUGCAGAAUCUGGAAAAUGUCGAACAUUUAAGAAAGGCAAGAAUUUUGUAAACAAAGGUUUGUUUUUAAUUUUGUCCUGAGCUUGAUUGGCCUGGACUGUCCACUGAUAGUCAUAACGAUCACACAGGUCCUGCAUAAUUGUCCCCUAUCCAGCGCUUACUAUAUUAGCCACAAACAUUUAAACAGUGAUGCUCAAAGAAGUGAACACGUUGCAUUUCUAACACUAACCUAACCCAUUUAAUUAAUGUGAAAUUGAACAUGUACUAUCCAACAUCUAUUUGCAGAAAUAACAGAUCUUUAAACACUUUAAACCUAUAAACUCUUAAUGAUGUUUCAGAAAUACCAAACUGAAUAACAGAUCUGAGUACAAACAUCAUCAAGCCCAACUUACAGUUUUAGACUCUCCAAACAGGACUAAGAACACAAAGGUCGUCAUACAACUCCCAGAAACAUGGAGGCCUCCUACAGUAGGCCACAUAAUGUCCAAGAGCAUCCUGGGUUAAGCCUCCUCUGAAAGCAAUUACUGCCCUUAAGGUAAAUCUCUUUCCUUGGAGCAUCAGACUGGAAGGAAAUUCACACAAAGGAAAUUCUGUGGAGUUGCUGUUUCCCAGAGGGACACUGUGUUGGAUUUUGGAUGGGCCUGAGGCAGGGGGAUUCUGGAUGGUUAAGGCCUUCUUCCACUGCUGUCUGAAGAUGAGCCAUACCAGAAGCCUGCAGUACAGCAACAGAAGGGGAAACAAAUGGAAUUUCCCUUGUUAGCUGUUUAUUGAGAGCGCAGUACUGAGAGGAGCAAUGUUUUGAGAAGAUUGAUCUGCUUGGAGCCAUUCAGGACAAGGUGAGAGGUACGAUUUUCUCUUCCUCUUUUUGGGCGGAACUGCUAGCCUCUCCAGUUUUCAACCACGUCUUCAUCUUUUGGAUGGAUGUCUGUGACAGUGUCAGACUGUGCAGAAGAGGCAGCAUCCAUUUCUGGUUUUCCAUCUACAUUGCAAGUUGUGGUGGGUAGUGUAUUCGCUCCUGUGAUGAUGACUGUGGCAGGAUCUCCAUCUUCUUGACCUUUUUUUUCACCUUUUUGUUUUGCGGCACAAAUCCGCAUGUUGCCUUCAAUGAAGGACAAAUGUCGAGCAAUGAAUCAAUCCACCUGCAUAGGCAGGUUUUCAUGCUUGAAAAGGCCGUGUUUGAUGUUUUUGAACUCUGCUUCAACAUUAGCUGAACUUGCAGUGACGUUGGUGCUACGGAAGUGAGGGAUCAUUACCCCUGUCCAGAGUGGUAAGUAACUUGCAAGCCAGAUUAUAUUAGGAAUAAUCUCAGGGAGGAAGUGCAUAUUAUCACGAUCACCAUUAGCCACAGCAAGUGACCUGCUCUCCUCACAUAUGUCUGUAACCCACUGCUUUAGGUCUGUCUGUGUUUGGUCACAUGGAUCCAGUUCGUCCAGGUCCUCAC